rnacentral:rRNA from 1 species
CCUACGGGUGGCAGCAGUGAGGAAUAUUGGUCAAUGGACGGAAGUCUGAACCAGCCAUGCCGCGUGCAGGAUGACGGCUCUCUGAGUUGUAAACUGCUUUUGUAUUUGGGUAAACACCCCUACGUGUAGGGGCUUGACCGUAUAAUACGAAUAAGGCUCGGCUAACUCUGUGCCAGCAGCCGCGGUAAUACGGAGGAUCCAAGCGUUAUCCGGAUUUAUUGGGUUUAAAGGGUGCGUAGGCGGUUUGAUAAGUUAGACGUGAAAUCCCGGUUCUCAACACCGGAACUGCCUCUAAUACUGUUGAACUAGAGAGUAGUAGCGGUAAGCGGAAUGUAUGGUGUAGCGGUGAAAUGCUUAGAGAUCAGACAGAACACCGAUUGCGAAGGCAGCUUACCAAACUAUAUCUGACGUUGAGGCACGAAAGCGUGGGUAGCAAACAGGAUUAGAUACCCGGGUAGUC